UCCAAAUGAGGUCUCAUUCGUAGGUGCCAG
rnacentral:piRNA from 1 species